rnacentral:rRNA from 1 species
CCUACGGGGGGCUGCAGUGGGGAAUAUUGCACAAUGGGUGAAGCCCUGACGCAGCAACGCCGCGUAACCGGUGAAGGCCUUCGGGUCGGAAAGCGCUGUCCUAAGGGCAUGAUACUGACGGUACCUUCUGAGGAAGCCCUGGCUAACUACGGUCCAGCAGCCUCGGUAAUACGUAGGGGGCUAGCUUUAUCCGGAAUUACUGGGCGUAAAGGGGGCGUAGGCCGACCUUCAAGGCAGGGGUGAAAUGGUAAAGCUCAACAGUAGUAAGCCGUUGAAAAUGUAGGGGUUGAGUGCAAGAGCGGAGAGUGGAAUUCUCAGUGUAGCGGUGAAAUGCGUAGAUAUUGGGAGGAACGCCAGUUGCGAAGGCGGAUCUCUGGACUGUAACUGACGCUGAGGCACGAAAGCGUGGGGAGCGAACAGGAUUAGAUACCCUUGUAGUC